rnacentral:miRNA from 1 species
CUGGGGGCUGCCAGGCAGGAGGC